GCGGGAGAAGUGCGUGAUAUCUCUCCCAAGUGAAAGCGAAAGUCUCCAGCUCCCCAUUUCGUGUAAGUGACUGUUACAAAUAAUUAACGUGUCCUGACCUGGGUGAGACGACACUCUACUGUCGACUGCAAAAAGUAGAAGAAUUAAGGGAAACAGCCAGACCUGUUGGUAUCGUCAGCUUUCCAGACACUGGGUGAGAGACCACGCUCUAAUGUCGACUGCAAAAGUUGAAGAAUUAAGGAGACUGGAGUUAAAGAAACAGUGAUCAAAUACCACCACACCAUGGAAAACGCCAUGUACGAUAUUACAGUGUCAGUGCUUCUUCUGCUUGGUAUUUGCCUCCCUGGCCUUGGUUGGAUUAUCACCCUGUCUCUCUGCCAUAAACGCUGGGAAAGAAAACAUGUCACGUUUAGUCUCGUGACCCUCCUUAUCACUCACACACUGCAGCUGAUCAUUUCCCCGUUUAUUGUGGAAACUGUGCUAACCGGGGUUCCCUGUUGGCAUGCUAGUUGGUGGUGUACUACAGUAUACAUAAUGUUCUCAGUGUCAAGAUUCUGCGGCCUGGUUUUACACCUGUGUGUUGCUCUGGAGAAGAUCUUGUCUCUGCGUCAUCGAGCGAUUAAAGGAUUGUUUUGGGUGCGUUUGGUGUGCUUGUUAUACAUUUUAUUUGCAGUUCUUGUGCAUUUGUUUGAUGUUGAUUACUUAUUCUUCAAUAUUAUGAAUAUUUUCUUUGGAUUGAAUGCUUUGGGCACAGCUGCUGCAGCAUGUGUUGUAGCCCUCAAACCCUUGCCAACACGGGACCUCACAGCUAAAUGUCAGUGUUUGAAGGUAUUAACAGUGGCCAUGUUUACUUUUAUGAUACUCUAUGUCCUUGAGUUCCUCUGCCAGAUAAUACAAACCAUCAGACCUGCUGGGAUAGAGAGGUUUAGUUAUGUUGUCCAUUACCUGCCAUGUCUAAGACCCAUCACUGACUGUGUUCUGUUUUGGUUUGUCUGCAUGGACAGGAAGCGAGAGCAGCAAACAACAGGCGUAGAACUCAAUUCACCUAUCCUCAAUUGCUUUCAUUCUGUCACCUCGCCUUCUCAAACUGCAUUGGAGGAGGACCAUGGGGAGGGACCUCCAAUAAUGGAGGAUGAGAUGUGAUGUGAGGAAUCAAGGAAAGAUACAUUGUAAAAAAUCCCAGUACUGAAGGCUAUUUGAGGGCUAAUACUCAUAUGAAGGGGCGGCAGGUAGCCUAGUGGUUAGAGCGUUGGACUAGUAACCGGAAGGUUGCAAGUUCAAAACCCCCGAGCUGAUAAGGUACAAAUAUGUCGUUCUGCCCCUGAACAGGCAGUUAACCCACUGUUCCUAGGCCGUCAUUGAAAAUAAGAAUUUGUUCUUAACUGAUUUGCCUAGUUAAAUAAAGGUAAAAAUAAUUUAAAAAAAAAUAAAAUGAAGGAGUAGAGGCUGGUGGAAUGGAGCUAUAGGAGGACUGACUCAUUGUAAUGGCUGGAAUGGAAUAAAUGGAACUGAGGUUCCAUUUGGCUAACAUGUGGUUUCCAUAUGUGUGAUGUGUUUGAUACCGUUCUAUUAAUUCCCUUCCAGCCAUUACAAUGAGCCUGUCCUCCUAUAGCUCCUCCCACAAGCCUCUACUAGAGGGAUAAGGGGGAUGAAUGCACUGACUCUAAGUCACUCUGGAUAAGAGUGUCUGCUAAAUGACCAACAUGUAAAUAUAUGUAGAGUCUAGUUGCAACUAAAUAACAGAUGUACUUGUUUGUAAUCCUCCUUGGUAGGCCAAUGACUAGUUGCUUUGUAUCAUAAACAGUUAUCCUAUUCAUAUUUUGGGAAACUGUGAUGUUGUUCGUCCUUUCUUUAUUAUUCAUUUUUAUAUUAUAAUCACAUUCUAAUGUUCAACAUUACCAUAACCUCCCACAACAAUGACCAGAGUUCAUUCACUUAUUGUUUAUCAGUUACAUCUUUUAUUAAAUGAUUUGGAACAUUUUUAAUCAGUACAACAUUUCCAGUCAUAAUUAUAAUAAACAAUGAUGUAAUUAACAGGAUUUUUUGUUGUUGUUGUCUUGAUUAUAAACUUUAUAAUAUAUUUUCCUCAUGAACAUGUAAACAAUCAUUAAGUUUCCCCCACCACAUUGUGUCGUUGUUCAGGACCGAGAACAGUACCAGAGAGAGAGAGAAAGGGUUAGAUAUCCAUCCUUGUAGCAAUGGCUUCUAUGACAGCAUGGACAGCACCAUUUUGGGGAAUUGAUGGCUAUUAAUUAUAUAAAGUAAUAAACACAUGUUUAAUCAUAGCAACAAUGUUUGUGUUUAAUAUAUGUCUUUAUUUGUAAAUGUUACAUUUCAUAACUCUGGUCCAGGGUCACAUUCCCAGUCCAGAGCUCUGGUCCAGGGUCACAUUCCCAGUCCAUAGCUCUGGUCCAGGGUCACAUUCCCAGUCCAUAACUCUGGUCCAGGGUCACAUUCCCAGUCCAUAACUUUGGUCCAGGGUCACAUUCCCAGUCCAUAACUUUGGUCCAGGGUCACAUUCCCAGUCCAGAGCUUUGGUCCAGGGUCACAUUCCCAGUCCAUAACUUUGGUCCAGGGUCACAUUCCCAGUCCAGAGCUUUGGUCCAGGGUCACAUUCCCAGUCCAUAACUUUGGUCCAGGGUCACAUUCCCAGUCCAGAGCUUUGGUCCAGGGUCACAUUCCCAGUCCAUAACUUUGGUCCAGGGUCACAUUCCCAGUCCAGAGCUUUGGUCCAGGGUCACAUUCCCAGUCCAGAGCUCUGGUCCAGGGUCACAUUCCCAGUCCAUAACUCUGGUCCAGGGUCACAUUCCCAGUCCAUAACUCUGGUCCAGGGUCACAUUCCCAGUCCAUAACUCUGGUCCAGGGUCACAUUCCCAGUCCAGAGCUCUGGUCCAGGGUCACAUUCCCAGUCCAGAGCUCUGGUCCAGGGUCACAUUCCCAGUCCAGAGCUCUGGUCCAGGGUCACAUUCCCAGUCCAGAGCUCUGGUCCAGGGUCACAUUCCCAGUCCAGAGCUCUGGUCCAGGGUCACAUUCCCAGUCCAGAGCUCUGGUCCAGGGUCACAUUCCCAGUCCAGAGCUCUGGUCCAGGGUCACAUUCCCAGUCCAGAGCUCUGGUCCAGGGUCACAUUCCCAGUCCAGAGCUCUGGUCCAGGGUCACAUUCCCAGUCCAGAGCUCUGGUCCAGGGUCACAUUCCCAGUCCAGAGCUUGGUCCAGGGUCACAUUCCCAGUCCAGAGCUCUGGUCCAGGGUCACAUUCCCAGUCCAGAGCUCUGGUCCAGGGUCACAUUCCCAGUCCAGAGCUCUGGUCCAGGGUCACAUUCCCAGUCCAGAGCUCUGGUCCAGGGUCACAUUCCCAGUCCAGAGCUUUGGUCCAGGGUCACAUUCCCAGUCCAGAGCUCUGGUCCAGGGUCACAUUCCCAGUCCAGAGCUUUGGUCCAGGGUCACAUUCCCAGUCCAGAGCUCUGGUCCAGGGUCACAUUCCCAGUCCAGAGCUCUGGUCCAGGGUCACAUUCCCAGUCCAGAGCUCUGGUCCAGGGUCACAUUCCCAGUCCAGAGCUUUGGUCCAGGGUCACAUUCCCAGUCCAGAGCUCUGGUCCAGGGUCACAUUCCCAGUCCAGAGCUUUGGUCCAGG
ensembl:lncRNA